UACCACUUAGCUUUGGUGUUCUA
rnacentral:piRNA from 1 species